rnacentral:rRNA from 1 species
GUCUACAGCCAUGCCACCCUGAAUGCUCCUGAUCUCGUCUGAUCUUGGAAGCUAAGCAGGGUCGGGACUGGUUUAGUACUUGGAUGGCAAACUACGUAGGAAUACCAGGUGCUGUAGGCA